rnacentral:rRNA from 1 species
UACAGAGGUGGCAAGCGUUGUUCGGAAUUACUGGGCGUAAAGGGCGCGUAGGCGGUCUUGUAAGUCCCGCGUGAAAUCCCCCGGCUCAACUGGGGAACUGCGUGGGAAACUGCGAGGCUUGAGUUCGGGAGAGGGAAGCGGAAUUCCGGGUGUAGCGGUGAAAUGCGUAGAUAUCCGGAGGAACACCGGUGGCGAAGGCGGCUUCCUGGACCGACACUGACGCUGAGGCGCGAAAGCUAGGGGAGCAAACGGG